GGAAAAGAAACCAACAGGGAUUGCCUCAGUAACGGCGAGUGAAGCGGCAAAAGCUCAAAUUUGAAAUCUGGAGCCUUCGGCUUCCGAGUUGUAAUUUGAAGAGGGUGUUUCGGGAGUAGCCUUGGCCCAAGUUCCUUGGAACAGGACGUCAUGGAGGGUGAGAAUCCCGUACAUGGCUGAAGGCUUUCUCUCAUGUGAAACCCCUUCGAAGAGUCGAGUUGUUUGGGAAUGCAGCUCAAAAUGGGUGGUAAAUUUCAUCUAAAGCUAAAUAUUGGCGGGAGACCGAUAGCGCACAAGUAGAGUGAUCGAAAGAUGAAAAGCACUUUGAAAAGAGAGUUAAACAGUACGUGAAAUUGUUGAAAGGGAAGCGCUUGCAAUCAGACUCGCUUUCGGUUGAUCAGCGACGCCUUCUGGCGCGUGCACUCUGCCGUUUGCGGGCCAGCAUCAGUUGGAGCGGUGGGACAAAGACGGCAGGAAUGUGGCUCCCCUCGGGGAGUGUUAUAGCCUGUCGUGCCAUGCCAUCAGCCCCGACUGAGGUCCGCGGUUCGCCUAGGAUGCUGGCUUAAUGGUUGUAAGCGACCCGUCUUGAAACACGGACCAAGGAGUCUAACAUCUAUGCGAGUCUUUGGGUGUCAAACCCAUGGGCGUAAUGAAAGUGAACGGAGGUGGGAGUCCUCAGACGCACCAUCGACCGAUCCUGAUGUUCUCGGAUGGAUUUGAGUAGGAGCAUAGCUGUUGGGACCCGAAAGAUGGUGAACUAUGCCUGAAUAGGGUGAAGCCAGAGGAAACUCUGGUGGAGGCUCGCAGCGGUUCUGACGUGCAAAUCGAUCGUCAAAUUUGGGUAUAGGGGCGAAAGACUAAUCGAACCAUCUAGUAGCUGGUUCCUGCCGAAG
rnacentral:rRNA from 3 species